GAGCGGCGAACGGGUGAGUAACACGUGAGUAACCUGCCCCUGACUCUGGGAUAAGCCCGGGAAACUGGGUCUAAUACCGGAUACGACACCUCCCGGCAUCGGGUGGGUGUGGAAAGUUUUUCGGUUGGGGAUGGACUCGCGGCCUAUCAGCUUGUUGGUGGGGUAACGGCCUACCAAGGCGACGACGGGUAGCCGGCCUGAGAGGGCGACCGGCCACACUGGGACUGAGACACGGCCCAGACUCCUACGGGAGGCAGCAGUGGGGAAUAUUGCGCAAUGGGCGAAAGCCUGACGCAGCGACGCCGCGUGGGGGAUGACGGCCUUCGGGUUGUAAACCUCUUUCAGCAGGGACGAAGUUGACGUGUACCUGCAGAAGAAGCGCCGGCUAACUACGUGCCAGCAGCCGCGGUAAUACGUAGGGCGCAAGCGUUGUCCGGAAUUAUUGGGCGUAAAGAGCUCGUAGGUGGCUUGUCACGUCGGGNGUGAAAGCUUGGGGCUUAACUCCAGGUCUGCAUUCGAUACGGGCUGGCUAGAGGUAGGUAGGGGAGAACGGANUUCCU
rnacentral:rRNA from 1 species